GCGAACGUGGUGAAAUUGGUAAACACGCAUGUUUGAGGGACAUGUUGCUCAAAGCAUUAUGAGUUCAAGUCUCAUCGUUCGCA
rnacentral:tRNA from 1 species